rnacentral:rRNA from 1 species
ACAGAGGGUGCGAGCGUUAAUCGGAUUACUGGGCGUAAAGCGUGCGUAGGUGGUUCAGUGUGUCGGUCGUGAAAUCCCCGGGCUCAACCUGGGAACUGCGGCCGAAACUGCUGAGCUAGAGUGUGGUAGAGGGUGGUGGAAUUCCGGGUGUAGCGGUGAAAUGCGUAGAUAUCCGGAGGAACAUCGAUGGCGAAGGCAGCCGCCUGGGCCACAACUGACACUGAGGUACGAAAGCGUGGGUAGCAAACAGGA